rnacentral:rRNA from 1 species
UUUGACCUCAAAUCAGGUAGGACUACCCGCUGAACUUAAGCAUAUCAAUAAGCGGAGGAAAAGAAACUAACAAGGAUUCCCCUAGUAACGGCGAGUGAAGAGGGAAGAGCUCAAAUUUGAAAUCUGGCGGCCUACGGUCGUCCGAGUUGUAAUCUAGAGAAGUGUUUUCCGUGCUGGACCGUGUACAAGUCCUUUGGAACAAGGCGUCAUAGAGGGUGAGAAUCCCGUCUACGACACGGACUACCAGUGCUUUGUGAUACACUCUCAACGAGUCGAGUUGUUUGGGAAUGCAGCUCAAAAUGGGUGGUAAAUUCCAUCUAAAGCUAAAUACAGGCGAAAGACCGAUAGCGAACAAGUACCGUGAGGGAAAGAUGAAAAGCACUUUGGAAAGAGAGUUAAACAGUACGUGAAAUUGUUGAAAGGGAAACGCUUGAAGUCAGUCGCGUCUUCAGAAACUCAGCCUGGCUUCUGCCUGGUGUACUUUUCUGUUGGACGGGCCAGCAUCAGUUUUGGCCGCCAGAAAAAGGUGAGAGGAAGGUGGCACCUCCGGGUGUGUUAUAGCCUCUCAUUGUAUGUGGCGGCUGGGACUGAGGACCGCAGCACGCCUUUAAUGGCCGGGGUUCGCCCACGUAACGUGCUUAGGAUGCUGGCGUAAUGGCUUUAAACGACCCGUCUUGAAACACGGACCAAGGAGUCUAACAUGCCUGCGAGUAUUUGGGUGGCAAACCCAUAUGCGGAAUGAAAGUGAACAGUUGGGACUUCUGUCAUGGAAGGCACCGACGCCCGGACCAGACCUAUUGUGACGGAUCCGAGGUAGAGCAUGUAUGUUGGGACCCGAAAGAUGGUGAACUAUGCCUGAGUAGGGUGAAGCCAGAGGAAACUCUGGUGGAGGCUCGUAGCGAUUCUGACGUGCAAAUCGAUCGUCGAACUUGGGUAUAGGGGCGAAAGACUAAUCGAAC